GGGGCUAUAGCUCAGCUGGGAAGAGCGCCUGCUUUGCACGCAGGAGGUCUGCGGUUCGAUCCCGCAUAGCUCCACCA
rnacentral:tRNA from 1 species